rnacentral:rRNA from 1 species
UUAGCGAGCUAAGUGUCCUAGGCCUACCUGGGGAAGGCCAGAGGAGACAGAAAUCCACUCGCACGAGUUUUAGGGGGAGCUGGGGCCGACGUAGUCCGCUGAGUCGCUGGGGUGGCGGCCGGAGGCGGGAGAGGCGUGGCCGCUGGAGGGGAGGGGAGGAGAGGGAAGGGAAGGGAAGGGGGUAUAGCUCUUCCCUCCGGUACCACGAGGGCUGUGCCGACCUAGGUCUGGUUCGGGCACCCCAAGGUCGAGCUGGAGGAGCGUCGCUGGUGCCGCCGCCCUAGGCGCCUAGGUACCGGUGCCGCCACGCUCGCGCGUCUGCGUCGGAACUCUUCCCUCCUCCGUCCCGCCGGUACCGCAAGGGCGGCGUCGGCCCAGUGACCGAGGUGGUGCUCGAGGAGCGUCAACAGUCACUGCUGCCGCCGAGGCUUGGGAUCGCCUGCGAGGACGAGCAGAAGGAGGUGUGGAGACGAGCACGGGCAAAAGGAGCCGCGGUAUAAGUCGUGGAUGUUCUUGCGUCGAAGGAGAGGGCGCUGUCCCCUACCUUGAACAGUUUAGAACCAGACUUCCCUUACAAUAGAGGACUCUAACCUGUCGAAUGAUUAUACGUAAAAGAACAUGACGUGUCCUUGAACAAGAUACCGUAAUAGGGAUCUCUCUACCCUCUAAAUGCUCUCGACUUCCACAACCUAGACCCCAUGUUAUUGAAGUUACCUAGUUAAGGUAGUCUCGAUUAUUUGUAAAAUAGGGACCUUAAAUAGAAAGAAUUUUCUUUGUCUGAAAUACCACUAAAUAGAGAACUUGAUUUACUCGAGUAGUCAGACACACUCAGAGCCCAAGCGGUGCCGUCCUGAAAGAGUUUAUCCUACGGGCGACGUUCCAAACAGAUUCAAAAGAAGAUGAACGUAUAGACUCUCAAUUUGAGCACGUUCCGAACUCAAUUUAAAAGUUUAGUUUGUCCCUAAACUCGUUCGAACUAAAACCAAUUUUUUAGGGUAGGACAAGGACGUUAGUGUACAUACAAUUACUAUAGACUUUAUAAACUCUUAAUAGACAAAGCUGAGUUCUUUACAGUCUGAAGAAAAUCCUUGUAAAGGAGGUGUUUUACCAUUUAAUAUACGCUCAGCCGUAGGGGCUUUGGGUCGGGUUUAGGGGUGUAUAUUGGAGUGAGGCCUGCUUGGGAUCUGGGUUUAGAGAUCUGUUACGGUACAACUUUCUAUCCGAACGCUUCUAAGCCGAGUUCUUAAGGACUCCCAUGAAGACAGAAAUAAUAUAAACAAGAGUGUGGAACCCGCAACACAAAAGGGCGGCGUUGCGUGCGCAGCUGGGCGUCAGAGUAUAAUUCACUUGGUCUUCGCCAUGUACGCUAUCUUUUCUUUUUGUUUGGGUUGGUGGUCGUGCUGGGAAGGAGAGCUAGGGUAGACCUGGAAAUCAUAAGAGCCCUAUAUAGACUAAUACUUCUACAAGGCAUAACGAGACCUCGGCUGUUGAAAAACCUGACGAGCUACAGAUAUUGGUUACUCUGAUGAAAAAACCAACAACCGACCUCCGACCUCGAUAGUGAUACUGACUUUAAAAGAAAAGUGGUUUCAUUUAAAUAUACCAGUAGUUUUUGGUUGCUGUCCAGUUGUGAACAGUCGUCAAACGUUAAACAUAAUGUCAUACGCAUUCGGUUACCAGUCUGUAACAACAAAAUCAAUCCUUUACAUCUUUGCACAAGUACUAAAUACAUCUAACCUGUCAGGGAAGUUUGACAUCAUAAGCUAGAACUCGCCUGUUAGAUUGAUAUACAAAGGAAUAUCUUUUAACUGAUAUACAAGGUACUUAACUGACUAAUCAAACCGGGCUAGUCUAAUUUGAUCCAGAACUAAACUUCCAGGUCAAUCCCGUCGACCACGACCAAACAAACAACAUUAUGAUUGAUACGAUAAAUCUGUCUCUGUACACCAGAAAGAGUAAGGAGCUGUAAAAGGAAACGAUGGUUCUAAAAAGUAAGAUCCAACACUUUUUUGCCUACAUCGUAAGGAAGAUGUUCAACAGUACUCGACCCUGUAUCUUCUUCUCUCGGCUGUUCUUCAACGUGUCGCCAAGCGAGACCACAGCGACGGUUACCGCAACGCGUUUCACGUCUAACGUCCGAUCUACGCAUGCUCAGGCAGGGAUGCAGGUGCUACAGCUUCGUAUCCUUUAGUUCAGUUAAUCUAUCAUAUAGACCAAUACUUUCAACAGAAAACACAUGCGUCAAAACGGUAAUAAAACAUUUUCGAAACUCAAAAACUAUUACAUUAACAGAAUGAUUAUUGUGAAAAUUAGUUAAGCACGGUUCCGAUUAUCGGUUCAAUACGUGUUUAACAAGUACAAAGGAACUACUGACGAUAAC